UCAAUCUGGAGCUAAAUUGUUGGUUUGGAGAUUGGAUCUGGAGCAGAGCUGGAGCUAAACUAAAGGUUACUUGAAGGCUAAGCAACCGGAGAUUUAACUUGAAGAAGGGAGAUUUAUUGAGAGAAUAUUUCGAAAAAACUUUGUACAAGAUUUGGAAAUAUUCCAUAAAGGAAGAUUGAGAAUAUAUCUUCCUUGUAGAGUUGACUAGUAUCAUCCACGAAACUACUAAGUAUAAGUAGGUUGUGUUGAGCUUUGUAUGAGCUUAUCACAGAGAAAGUAUUUUAGUUAAAAAGGGUUCAGAACUUGAUAGGUGAGUGAAACACAAAGGGCUAAAUGAGAGAAGUUCUAAGGUUUUGUUUUUCUGUUUAAUCUUGUAAGUUCACUUUGAAAAAAAUCUAGUGAUCCAUAACAAUGUUAAGCCGGUCCUGUCUGCGUGAGAUCUAUCUUGCACUCACAAUGAAGUCCCCUGCAUGCUGCAUAAGUGGACAGCGGCUGACAACUAUCCUGAGCAGAAGAUCUCUUUUGCUCUAUUGUUUUGAUAUUCUGUUUUUCAUAUCGUUUUUAGAUGCUAUGUUUUUUUUACUAGUUUUGUCCUGCUAGUGGUUUCAGUGCCUUGCUCAGACCUGUAGGAUCCUAAGUCAAUUUAAAAAAAAAGAAUUGUAUAUGUAUAAUUUCUUAAAAAUAUAUAUAUAUACAAGCAAACACUACAUAAAACUUGAAUAUCCACUAAGCACUGCCUGAUUGGUUUGAUCAAAGCCGUAACUGAAAUUGACUGGUUUCUGUAGAAAAAAGUGUCAUCCAUUGUUAAAUAAAAGUGAAGUAGAGACCGUUGGAUUAGUUUUAUCCAUUCAUAUAAGGUAAAGACAGCAAACAAAAGGAAAUUAUCCAUUGAAAUUGUUUAAAAUAAAACACAGAUUACACUUAUUGCUUCCACUUUCCAUUAUCUAAAAUAUUCCAAAUAUUUAUCAUAGAAUAUCAACAACAAAGCACCACCCCUCUUCGACUGGUCAAUGUUGUUGAUGAGAAUUUGGAGUCAAAUCACAUCUGUUACCACAGAUCAAGAUGAAUGUAAGUGUAGAUUUUGAAUGAGUUUUAGAAGUUAACAUGAGAUGAUAAAGUUGCAGACCCAAAGUGUUGAGAAGUUCAAGAACAUCCUGGCGUACGAUAUAUACUAGGUGAAAGUACCAGAUGGAGUCACCAGAAGUGAAUGUUGGUUGGAUGAUGUGAGUGAAGAUGCAUAGUUCACGUGAGUGGAGAUGCAAAGUUCUGACAUACAUCUUGUAUCAGUUGGAAGUGCAGCAUGAUCUACAUCAAAAUUGAAGAAUGACAAAAUCAAUCUGGAGCUAAAUUGUUGGUUUGGAGAUUGGAUCUGGAGCAGAGCUGGAGCUAAACUAAAGGUUACUUGAAGGCUAAGCAACCGGAGAUUUAACUUGAAGAAGGGAGAUUUAUUGAGAGAAUAUUUCGAAAAAACUUUGUACAAGAUUUGGAAAUAUUCCAUAAAGGAAGAUUGAGAAUAUAUCUUCCUUGUAGAGUUGACUAGUAUCAUCCACGAAACUACUAAGUAUAAGUAGGUUGUGUUGAGCUUUGUAUGAGCUUAUCACAGAGAAAGUAUUUUAGUUAAAAAGGGUUCAGAACUUGAUAGGUGAGUGAAACACAAAGGGCUAAAUGAGAGAAGUUCUAAGGUUUUGUUUUUCUGUUUAAUCUUGUAAGUUCACUUUGAAAAAAAUCUAGUGAUCCAUAACAAUGUUAAGCCGGUC
rnacentral:lncRNA from 1 species